GACGAACGCUGGCGGCGUGCCUAAUACAUGCAAGUCGAGCGGAACUGGGGGAGCUUGCUCCUUCCAGUUUAGCGGCGGACGGGUGAGUAACACGUGGGCAACCUGCCCUGCAGAUCGAGAUAACUCCGGGAAGCCGGUGCUAAUACCGAAUAGUUUGGCGCCUCUCCUGAGGCGCCACGGAAAGACGGUUUCGGCUGUCACUGCAGGCUGGGCGCGCGGCGCAUUAGCUAGUUGGUGGGGUAACGGCCCACCAAGGCGACGAUGCGUAGCCGACCUGAGAGGGUGACCGGCCACACUGGGACUGAGACACGGCCCAGACUCCUACGGGAGGCAGCAGUAGGGAAUCUUCCGCAAUGGACGCAAGUCUGACGGAGCAACGCCGCGUGAGUGACGAAGGUUUUCGGAUCGUAAAACUCUGUUGUGAGGGAAGAACACGUACCAACUAACUAUUGGUACCUUGACGGUACCUUACCAGAAAGCCACGGCUAACUACGUGCCAGCAGCCGCCGUAA
rnacentral:rRNA from 1 species